AUAUCAGUCAUGCAUAGCAUAUCAAAAGCGGAGGAAAAGAAACUAACAAGGAUUCCCCUAGUAACGGCGAGUGAAGCGGGAAGAGCUCAAAUUUGAAAUCUUCAAGGUUCUACCUUGACGAAUUGUAGUUUAUAGAAGUGUUUUCUGUUAGUAGAGUGGCAAAAGUUCUUUGGAAUAGGACAUCAUAGAGGGUGAGAAUCCCGUAUUUGGUCAUUCUUUCUAGCUUUGUGAUACACUUUCAACGAGUCGGAUUGUUUGGGAAUGCAGUCCAAAAUGGGUGGUAAAUUUCAUCUAAAGCUAAAUAUUGGCGAGAGACCGAUAGCGAACAAGUACCGUGAGGGAAAGAUGAAAAGAACUUUGAAAAGAGAGUUAAACAGUACGUGAAAUUGUCAAAAGGGAGGCGUUUGACACCAGUGUUGUUUUUCCGAAAAUCAAUUACGAAUGUUUUGUUUUUGAGGAGUUAUGACUUCAUCGGCUUGCUUCUCUCUUUACGAAACUUUCUUAAUGCACUUUUCGGUUAACAAGUCAACAUCAAUUUCUUUUGUUGUAAAAGGGUACGAGGAAGGUGGCUUUCUUUUCGGAGAAAGUGUUUAUAGCCUUGUGCCUCUGCAAUCGGAGAGAUUGAGGUCUGCAGCGUAGAUCCUUCGGGGUUAGAUACAGUUUGUGCUAAGUUAUAGCUUUUCAUAGACAACUUGUUGACUAUGUUUAGUCUUGUAGCUUACUCGCUGACGCUAUUUUACCUACGCUUAGGAUGUUGAUCUCUCACAGUCGAGC
rnacentral:rRNA from 1 species